rnacentral:rRNA from 1 species
CCUGAACGCUGGCGGCGUGGCUAAGACAUGCAAGUCGCACGGGACCCGGCAAGGGUUCAGUGGCGAACGGGUGAGUAAUGAAUCGCUAAUGUGCCCCGGACUCUGAGAUAGCUACCCGAAAGGGUAGGUAAUAUCAGAUGAUAUAACCGAACCGCAUGGUUUGGUUCUCAAAGGUCCGCCGGUCUGGGAGCAGGCGAUUUCGUAUCAGCUAGUUGGUGAGGUAACGGCNCACCAAGGCGACGACGCGUAGCCGGACUGAGAGGUUGGCCGGCCACAUUGGGACUGAGACACUGCCCAGACUCCUACGGGGGCUGCAGUAACGAAUCUUCCGCAAUGCACGAAAGUGUGACGGAGCGACGCCGCGUGUAGGACGAAG